GACGAACGCUGGCGGCGUGCUUAACACAUGCAAGUCGAACGGAAAGGCCCUGCUUUUGUGGGGUGCUCGAGUGGCGAACGGGUGAGUAACACGUGAGUAACCUGCCCUUGACUUUGGGAUAACUUCAGGAAACUGGGGCUAAUACCGGAUAGGAGCUCCUGCUGCAUGGUGGGGGUUGGAAAGUUUCGGCGGUUGGGGAUGGACUCGCGGCUUAUCAGCUUGUUGGUGGGGUAGUGGCUUACCAAGGCUUUGACGGGUAGCCGGCCUGAGAGGGUGACCGGCACAAUUGGGACUGAGAUACGGCCCAGCCUCCUACGGGAGGCAGCAGUGGGGAAUAUUGCACAAUGGGCGGAAGCCUGAUGCAGCACCGCCGCGUGCGGGAUGACGGCCUUCGGGUUGUAAACCGCUUUCGCCUGUGACGAAGCGUGAGUGACGGUAAUGGGUAAAGAAGCACCGGCUAACUACGUG
rnacentral:rRNA from 1 species